UACGUAGGGCCAGCGUUGUCCGGAUUAUUGGCGUAAGAGCUCGUAGGCGGUUGGGUAGUCGGUGUGAAACUCCAGCUCAACUUGGAGCGCCACCCGAUACUGCUCUGACUUGGAGUUCGGUGAGGGGAGGUGGGGAAUUCCUGGGUGUAGCGGUGAAAUGCGCAGAUAUCAGGAGGAACACCGGUGGCGAAGGCGCCACUCUGGGCCGAAACUGCGCUGAGGAGCGAAGCGUGGGUAGCAAACAGG
rnacentral:rRNA from 1 species